GGGGUGUGGGCGGAGGGGAAAUUUAAAAAAAUGCACAUUUUACAAACUAGGCGAUUAAGAUGUCAUUUUCUAUGUUUUUUUACGCUGAAUCUAAUGAGACCAUACCCAUACUUAUAGGAUC